rnacentral:ncRNA from 1 species
GUUAUUUGAGGAUAGAAAGUGGCAGCUAUCACGCCAGAGAUGGUCUUAAAAGCAGAUGUAGGGUACGCCGUCCUACCAAUUAAC